GCUUUCUGCAUGUUUGGUGUGGAAAUCUUUGAAUAAGCUUGAAAUUAUUAGAAAAUAUUCAAUAUCCACCUACCUUUACAUAAUUACAUGAAUGUGCGCCUAGUAUUACUAAAAGUUGCUGCACCUCUAGCAAUUUGCACUCCAAAUGGCCUGAUCUAGCUAAUAUGUGAAAAAUGUUGUAUUGAAUGCAGUUAGUGUGUCAGGGGGUUGGGGUUCUAUGUGCUGACAUUUUAUUUGCAUGAAUAGGUUAGAAAUGUUGAAGCUUUAAAUUCUCAUUAUGCGCAUGGAGAACAUAACUGAUAUUUUCAGAGAUGAAGCUAUUGGAUGCUAGACAGACAAAUAAGCAUGCCUAUAUUCACAGGGGAAUCUUACUCAUUUUUCCAUGCCUUCCAAGUUUCUUGAUGUGCUAUGGACAUUUUAGAGAAUUUCUUUUCCAUUUGAUGAAAUUCUUAGGGAAAUAUAUAAUGCAAGUGUUAAACUGAUAAAAAAAGGGAAAAGAAAAGGUUCUGAACUUAUCCAUCCAGUUACACUAAUUAAAGAACAAGAUAAAAGAAUGAUAAUGUAAAUGUGUUGUAUUUGCUCACAUUUGUGCUUGUCUUGCCAAGGUAUACGAGCAUACUGUUCUUGUUCUUAUAAAGAAAUCAGUGAGGUAAGUUUCUGGAACCAAAAAUUGAAAAUGCAAGAACUCAUGCUGACUUUUGACCUUUGCAUAUAUCAUUUUAUGAAUCAAGAUAGUAAAAUAUGAAACCAGGACAUGUUGAUUAUACUUCAAAACAAAUUAUUUUUUAUCUCUCUGAAAUCUUGAAGACUCCCUACCUGGAAAAUUUUAGAAUACAACCAUUGUUUGGUUGUACUGAAUAAAUUCUCCCCUUGCCCCUCCUCCCCACAAAUUUUCAAGAUUUUUAUCUACUGCCUUCUUUGGAUGAACAUCCCCAUAACCUAAUAUCGCUUACUUCUCUGACUUGCUUGUAUAUGAUACUGUUCACUUUCUAUCAAAGAAGUUUUGACAUAUUUCAUCUUUUCAGCUAAGACCUAGUGCUUCAUAAAUUGAGUAACAUAUUAACGUUCAUGUUAACAUCUUUUUCAACAGGGAAUGUCUGCUCCUUUAGUCUCUAAGAAACAUAUAUCAAAGAAAUUUGUUUGCAUGUAACAUUUGCUGCACGGUUAUCACCAGGGUUCUUUUUCACCUUUAGUUUGAGUCCUACAUUUUAUACUUCUCAAAAUCAAUAUGCUGCCUCUAAAAUUAGUGAUUCAUAUAACUCUUAUCAGAAUUCCUCGAGUCCAAGGUCUACAGAAGUUAGUUUAGGGAUAGUCAUUAAGGACAAUGGAUUUGACAUUACAACAGAGUUUAGCAGUUUGAGAAAGGACAAUGUUAGUUGAUUUUUGAGAGGCUCGAGGAGAACUGGAGAAGUCAAGUCUGAAUGGGGACAACAUGGAUGAAAUUGGUCCAUUCUGCAUUCAAGAAGGAGCCACAAAUGAUCUUGACCUUUUUUCCUAUGAAAGGCAUAUCCCCAAGAAGGAUUACUUUGUCAAUCAAGGUAAGUGUCUGGAUAUGAAUAUGGCAAUAUGCACAAAUCAUCAGGCACUUUGAUGCAUGUAAUGAACUUUUCUUGACCUGUUAUUGCAUAUGCUAUGCAUAGAUUGAGUAAAUACACCCAUAGUCCAAGUCAUGAUCAUGAGAAUGCGUUGAUGAAAAAUACUUAAAUACUUGAAAUAUACCAUGAAUUAUGGAAUAAUAUACAAUGGAUUUCCCAUUUUCCUUGAAGGAUAUUGUGAUGCAAAUUGGAUGCCACAUUUGUAUGAGUCCAUACUUCUGUUUUCACGCUUAGUGGGAGUGUAGUGGCUUGAAAGUCUGCAAAACAAUCCAUAUUUUCCAAGUUAAUUAUGGAAUUAGAGUUUAUAGCGUCAGAGAUGGUAAGCAAUGAAUCAAAAUGGCUAAGAAAUUACCCUAGUUAAAGGAUACAUUUUUUCUGCAAUUCAUUAGCGCAAAGGUUUGGUUGCUGGCUUUGUCAAGCUAAACGAAAUUUCAGUUGGAAACUGUUUGAUAGUUGUCUUCUGUUUACUUUAGGAUUUGACAAAGUGUUUCUACAAGCUCAAACACGUUGGCUGAAACCUUUAGUAGUGUUCUUCAUAUUACAAAUCAUGAAAGUUUUCACUUAUCAGAGCCACCUCUAACGCCACCUAGUAAGCAUUUGAUAUAUAAUUUGGACAAUUUAUUGAUGGUUUUCUUCACUGAUCAAGUCUACUAGCCUAUUUUUGUUGUUCUGAGUUCUUCAAUAGGUGGAUCUUGUUUCUUUUUAACAAAAGAGUCCUUUGGUUCUUUUGUGAAGAUGGUCAUAGUUGGUGUAAGACAAAGGACAGAAGAACUACUGGGGAAGCAUAUUAACGACUUAGGUUUGUUAUUAUGCCUAUGCAGAUGCCUUUAACUUUCUGUAGUGAGAACCCUGCUUCUAUUCCAUUAUAUGCUACUCCCCUUAAUUGCAUUUUGUAAAUUGUUUCAAUGUUGAUAAAUCAUUUCCCAACAGGCCAUGAUGACCUUACAUUUCUAAUUUUUUUUAUAUUCCUAAAAGCAAAAUAUUGGCAAACUGGCUGGAUAUGUCCUAUUCCUUAAUUUUAAAACUUUCUGCAUUAUUUUUAGCAUGGUGAUGCAAGUUCAAAAACUAGCAAAUAGUUUGACAAGAAAAAGACAAGGGAUAACUAAAACAUAAAAAAGAAUGUCAUAUGUCCAUGGUUAGAUUUAAAGAAAGGAAUGAGACUAUUUGAUUGUUAAGUAGAAACAUUUGCCAAAUUGGAAUUUUGCUGAUUGUUAUAUGAAAGUGAACCUACAAGAAAUGUCCAAAUGGAUUAUGCAUACAUGUGAGUAGUAGAUACUAAAGUGUUAGUGAUACGCGUCGAAUUGUUUCCUACAAAAUUGAAAGAUAUUGUUGGAUAAUUAGCUGCUUCACUUGUAUUUUUAUUUUAUAUGUUUAGUCAUUAACCUCCCCCAUACUUUUCUUUCUCAGAAAAUUUCUCAUACAUUAAUCAAAUUUCUCAAGUAGAAAAAUGUAAAGGUUCCUCUAUGCUGGUCUCUUGUUUUGUGAAAUUCUCAUGCUUCUUGAAUUGGUUGGCUGUAUUUGAAGUCUGUAAUGAAGCCUUGCUGCUGUGUUUUCUAUCAUUAGAUUUUUCAUUUGCUUGUGAUUGGGUAGUUGUGUUUCUAGGCUUGUACUAUGUUUCUACUCCAGGUUUUUUCACUUAGCAUGGGCUGUCCUAGGAAGGGUGUACUGGGGAGGUUGGAUGACCAGGGUUUAGUUGGACUUCACAUGCUAAUUUCUUCCAAGAUACAUUAAUAAAAUUUAUUUGCUUAUCGGAAAAAAAAAAUGUUAACGGUUCCUCCUGAAUCAUCUAGCCAGUUAUCACCCGUGUGCUAUUCUGUUUUGUGGCCUCCUCGCUCUUCCCCUUUAUGUGCAGGAUCUAGUUCUACCAUUCAAGUUCAAGGAUUUUGCCUUUGAUUUUACAUCUGAUGUUAAUACAAAUUGGGAAUUCUGUGCCUUUGUAGGUUGAAUAGGCUGGUAUGAAUCUUUAUGACUUAAUUGCCAAUCGUAGACUAAGAAAAUAUUUAAUUAUUGUCUUAUUGGUGUACAUAUUUUGUGAUAAAGUUUAGGCUUUUUGAAAGCUG
rnacentral:misc_RNA from 1 species